AAGAAUCAAAAUAGAAAUAAAAAGAGGCUUUUAUUAAAAUAAAAUGAGAAGAUAACAGCAUAAACUACAAGAAAAGCCAAUUUCAAGAUUGAGAAAAGAAACCAUGUAAAAUAUAGGUGUCCUGUAAAAGACCAAAACCAGGUUUAAGAUCUAACAACAUAGUCAAUCAUAAAAAGACCAAUUCUAGGAUCCAAGUCCCUGCUUACCCAAAAAGAGUGCCUCUACCUUGCUGCUAAUUAAGCAGCCUCUUGUUCCUUAUCCCAGUUUGGCAGACUCAUGGAUGUCUAUUUCUCAUUAUCUUGCUACCACUUUUCGAAGGCUGGUUCUGGUUUCAAAGGGGUAGAGCUUCAUCAGUACAUCCGAGUUUUCCUUCUGAUACAAAUGUUGUUUGCUGGUAUAUCCAAACUUCCUUUGCUGUAAACACAUACCCGCAACCAAAUGGAAUAUUAAAAGUAAACAGGCACUUUUAAUCACACAUCUGAAUACCUUCUUCUUCGAGAUCCCAUUGGACCACAAACAGGUAAAAAAUAUUACACAUCCAAAUAAACACAAGUGAAUGCCCUAUAGCAUGAAUGCAGGCCACAGACAUAUUUUUGAACCAUGCCAUUCGAAUAUUCAUACCUAUGCACACUAGCUUUUCACUAAGAAAUACACAGACAUAAGAAAGAUCUAUUCACAUGCAUAAACAAACUACAUAUUUCCUUUUCACUGCAUCAGCAUACUGGCACAUUCUUCCUGGAACCAACAACCUUAGAUCACAACCACGGGAGCACAAAAAGUUAUAGCAGCUCUUGCCAAUGUUCUAAACCAAUCUGCAUCCAGACAUUCCAUACAGAGUUUAAUUUUGUAGAAUCUAUGCACUUCACUCAACACAUAAAUAAGCAGUACGUAAAACUAAAGCACAGAAAAAUGGGUAAAUAAGAUUAUUAUGUUGGAUCAUGCUAAAGUUGCAUGAAAACUUUUAAAAAUAAACAAAGUUCAACAACAAGAAUGUUUUGACUACUACAAUUCAUAUACUGAUAAACACGAAGUGAGUACAAACAAUUUCCUAUGAUCAUUUCUAAACAUCAAGCCACAAGACAGCAAAAAAAAUGCAAGAUACACAUUGCGUUCAUAUUUGCUAUAGCUUAUAGUAGGAAGAUAUAAAUUAGAAAAUAUAUUAUCAAAUGACAACAAGACAAAAUACAAAAUAAUAGAAAAAGAUAUAGGAAUUAUAUAUAAAAAUGAUCAAAUCAUAAAAUAUGCUUUAUUUACAAGCGCAGAUCAGAUAUUGUCAGUGAACAGAAAGUUAAGUAUCAAAUUCAACUUUUAAGUCAGCCACCUUCACCAAACAUUCAUAAUUUUGCAAGUCAAUUCAAUCUUUUUGCCUUGCUUGGAAGAAUAAGAAUGAGACUACAAGGUAUUUAAAAAAUUCAUCAUAAUUCAGAAGAAACAUUUUUCGAACAAUUAGUUGUUUCAACUAGAUGCAUACAUAUACUGGAAAUAUACUGAAGGCUCAGAUUAGCAUAUUGCAACAUUCUUCAUAGCAUCAACAACUCCAUAAAUAAUUUUACCACGGGUGCGCAAUUUGUUGUUGUAGCUCAUGGCCAAUAUCUGUCAUCACCGGCAAUAAUAAAUAAUAACAUAUGUGCAGGAGUUGAUCAAGUCUGUAUUGGUAUCAAAAUGUAUACUCAUUCUUAUAAAAAAGCACAUAAUAUUCAAUGAUUUCCAAAUACUGAUAAAAGAUCAGAACAAACCCUUCAUAUAUUAUGCCUACUUGAAGAAUUUGAAUGACCAUAAAACAUUGAGCUUCAACAACUUAUUUGUGAUCUAGGAAUCAUCUUGCUCGCAUAAAUAACUGAAAAUUUUAUGAAUUAGACUCCAUCCGAAUUUGAGUGUUAUGAUUAAUAAUCAUAAUUGGCAUGGUUUUUCAGACUUGCCGAUAGCACAUUUAAAUACAAUAUUUUUCAUUUCUUUAUAAAAAGUACACUUCAGAUGCUAAUUGCUAAAGAAUAAAUUAGAAAAAUAAAUAUCCUCUCUCAAUUCGUUGUUUGAAAGCCCUAAAAUCAGAGCCGGAGUCUACAAAAUGUUACAUCUCAUGCAAUAAUUAUUAAGAGAUUUUCAAGAUCCAAUCAUCGUAUAAAAUAUAAAAUUUCAAUGGAAGCUGUAUAUAACACUUGUUGCUAGGGGUUGAAAAUGUUGUGCAAGGAGAUUAUACCCUAUAAAAUCACUGAAACAAUUCGAGAAUUUCAUAAUAUUUUAAAAAGGUAUGCAAAAUUGGAUUGAACAGUUUAUAAUUCAAGCAUCCUUAUCCUAACUCAGAAGUCAAAACUAAAUUGAUCAACUGCAGAGGAUUAUAUUUUGCCAUGUUAAUUUUUAGGAGGUCACAAACAGCCAGCAAUAUAAUGUUGAACCUCAUAUGUGCUUUAUUUUUCACUGUUGGAGAAUUCAAAUAGACAUGGUACAUAUUAAAAAAAACACCUUGAAAUGCAUGAAAAAAAGGAGUAAUCCACUCAGAUAUAUAAAACACGAACUAUUAGUAUGUCAAUAUCUUCAACUCAAAGAAAUUCAAAAACAAAAUUAGGCACUUGCAUCAUCUUUCCUUACCAAAAGAUUAUAUUUUUAGAAGCACAUGUCACAUAAAAGAACAAGACUAUCCUUACCAAAAGACAAAACGAUAUAUAAUAGUAUACGAAUAUGCGUAAUUAAAAGCCUCAGAUUAGCAUAAUGCCACAUUCUUCCUUGCAUCAACAACCCCAAUGGGUAGAUUUACCCAGUGGGUGCGCAAUUUGUUGUUGCAGCUCAUGGCCAAUAUCUCUCAUCACCGGCAAUUAUCAACCGAAAAAUAAAUAAAUUGUGUUACUUGUGUAUAUGCUUAAAUAAUAUUGUUAGUAUAAUCUAUCGAUGGAGGAAAAUGGAGGCGCCUGAACAG
rnacentral:lncRNA from 1 species